AUAAAAUUCAAUUGACCUCUUAGACUAUCAACACAGUACAAUUUACCUUUUAGCCUUCGCUGGCGUGGUCCUACGUAAGACUGCUGAUAUGGCGCCACAUCGGCAAAACCGCCUUUUGAAACCAACGAGGUGGGUAAAUUGGAUGAUUUGGAUAGUUAGGGGUGUUAAAUAUCUAUUUUUUAGUUGAGAGGUGUAAAUCAGAUUGUGUUGAUAGUUGAGGGGCUGAAAGGACUUUUUCCUUCCCCAAAGGUCAAAAUGUGAGCUAUACUAAACUAUAGUACCGUGUGUUGUCACCGUAGUGCUCGUUUUGGCAAACAAGCCCUAAUUUAUUAUCUUUUAAAAAAACAUCCAUAUACCCCUCGAUGAACCCCACCUGACGGUUCCAAACUGGUACAAAGUUUGCCUCUUCUUUUCUCACCCGAAAUUUUCCCUACCCGUCGGCGUACCCACCUCCAAUCCCGCCCGCCAAUCACGCGGCCGGGACGGCGGCAUGCGGUUCGCGACUUAGGAGUCGGCGAGCGGCGUCAUCUCCCUGCUCGAGGAGGUGGCCGGAUGCGUGUGACCAAGAGCGGCGCCCGCGGCGUCCGUUUCGAGGGCGCGGAGCGCGGGGGCCCCAAGGGCCUCCUCGCCGUGGCCGCUGACAUCUUCAGCGUGGCGCCGUCCCUGCUCGUGGUCGACGACAAGAAGGACGGCGGCGACACCCUCGAGUACCGGUCCUUCUGCAGCGACGAGCUCCGGCCGGCGCUCAAGGACAUCAUCUGGGCCGCCGACCCGGCACCCGCCGCCGUCGUGUGACGCCGCGCCGCCGCGCAUUGCUCUGUAUCCUAGUGCCAUUUGUUUAGGCAGCCCUGGCGGCUCCCAUCGCUACAUGCCACCUCUGAGCUCGGAGUCGUGCAACCCGUCGGCCAAUUGCUACGUGAGUCCCGUCACUCGUGCUCUUGCCUCUUGCUACCCCGAGGUUCUGGAUGUUUUGUGCUCGCACGUAGGGUGUUCGAUGAUUUGCCUUGCUGAGCUGACUGGUUCUCCUCUCAUAUCUUUCAUGUCAUUAUGAGUGCCUUGAUCUAGCGGCAUAACGAAGCAAUAUGUUGGGGAUGUCAGUGAGGCGGCCUAGAGCAUAGUAAACUGCCCCACUAGGGAGCUAACUGAGCAGAUAAGGACGAGGUUCAGAAAAUAGAUGGUGCGGGCGGAGACAGAGAUGCUGCUCUUGGAGUCCAGGGAUGAGGCGGGGGUCUAUUGCCACGGAGGGAACCAAUUUUGAUGGAGAUUUCAGGACCAGCAUCCAAGGGAGUCCUGAGAGCUUGCUCCAGUUCUGCUUGGAGAGCGGUGAGUCUUGUCUACUGCAACCUAUACUAAAUGUGAAUGUUGAUGUACUCCAUCAAAUAGAUGUGCAAUGUUUGGCAUUUUAGCUGGAAUUUGUGAGAGAGGAAAUUGUUACUGUUCACUCUUUGUAGCUGAUCCUGAGGUCCAGACUGUGGAAGUAGUUGAUGCAGUGUUCAUCAACACAGGGGGUAACCCUUUCAAGAUUCUGAAGGAAUCUAUCAAUAUCAUACUCUUGAAUCUUGACGUAACCACAAUAUUUUUGAGCAUCAGUAAAGCAUGCAAUCCUCGAGGUAUGUUGUCGCGUGAAAAUGGUGGGGACUAUGUUGGAUGUUGUUCGAUUGUAUGGAGAGGUAGUAUUUUUCCACAAAUACGUCAGGUUAGAAGGUAGGGGGACAUCGAUUUUAAUUUUGUACAUGAACAUACUUGUACCGUUCACAGGGAUUGUAUUGUUGAAAGCUUUUAACCACUUA